CUACGGAGGGUCCAAGCGUUAUCCGGAAUCAUUGGGUUUAAAGGGUCCGCAGGCGGUCAAUUAAGUCAGAGGUGAAAGCCCAUCGCUCAACGAUGGAACUGCCUUUGAUACUGGUUGACUUGAGUUAUACGGAAGUAGAUAGAAUAAGUAGUGUAGCGGUGAAAUGCAUAGAUAUUACUUAGAAUACCGAUUGCGAAGGCAGUCUACUACGUAUAUUCUGACGCUGAGGGACGAAAGCGUGGGGAGCGAACAGGAUUAGAAACCCUAGUAGUCC
rnacentral:rRNA from 1 species